rnacentral:rRNA from 1 species
GACGAACGCUGGCGGCGUGCUUAACACAUGCAAGUCGAACGGAAAGGCCCCUUUGGGGGUACUCGAGUGGCGAACGGGUGAGUAACACGUGAGUAACCUGCCCUUGACUUCGGGAUAACUUCAGGAAACUGGGGCUAAUACCGGAUAGGAAUCCUUGCUGCAUGGUGGGGGUUGGAAAGCUGCGGCGGUUUUGGAUGGACUCGCGGCUUAUCAGCUUGUUGGUGGGGUAGUGGCUUACCAAGGCUUUGACGGGUAGCCGGCCUGAGAGGGCGACCGGCCACAUUGGGACUGAGAUACGGCCCAGACUCCUACGGGAGGCAGCAGUGGGGAAUAUUGCCCAAUGGGCGGAAGCCUGAUGCAGCAACGCCGCGUGCGGGAUGACGGCCUUCGGGUUGUAAACCGCUUUCAGCAGGGGCGAAGCUUGUGGUGACGGUACCUGCAGAAGAAGCACCGGCUAACUACGUG